rnacentral:rRNA from 1 species
CCCUUAGAUGUUCUGGGCCGCACGCGUGCUACACUGAGUGGAUCAGCGGGUCAGGUUGCGCGAAAGUGUUUCCUAAUCUUGAAAUCCGCUCGUGAUGGGGAUUGACGGUUGCAAUUUUCCGUCAUGAACGAGGAAUACCUUGUAAGCGCGGGUCAUCAUCCCGCGCUGAAUACGUCCCUGCCCUUUGUACACACCGCCCGUCGCUCCUACCGAUUGAGUGGUCCGGUGAGGCUUUGGGAUCUGAGCGGAAAGAGCGUUUCGCUGUUUCUGCUCUGAAAACUCAGUCGAACCUUAUCAUUUAGAGGAAGGAGAAGUCGUAACA